ACGCACGCUGGCGGCGUGCUUAACCCAUGCAAGUCGAACGGAAAGGCCCUGCUUUUGUGGGGUGCUCGAGUGGCGAACGGGUGAGUAACACGUGAGUAGCCUGCCCUUGACUUUGGGAUAACUUCAGGAAACUGGGGCUAAUACCGGAUAGGAGCUCCUGCUGCAUGGUGGGGGUUGGAAAGUUUCGGCGGUUGGGGAUGGACUCGCGGCUUAUCAGCUUGUUGGUGGGGUAGUGGCUUACCAAGGCUUUGACGGGUAGCCGGCCUGAGAGGGUGACCGGCCACAUUGGGACUGAGAUACGGCCCAGACUCCUACGGGAGGCAGCAGUGGGGAAUAUUGCACAAUGGGCGGAAGCCUGAUGCAGCAACGCCGCGUGCGGGAUGACGGCCUUCGGGUUGUAAACCGCUUUCGCCUGUGACGAAGCGUGAGUGACGGUAAUGGGUAAAGAAGCACCGGCUAACUACGUG
rnacentral:rRNA from 1 species